AAUCAACGCUGGCGGCGUGCCUCAGACAUGCAAGUCGAACGCGAAAGUCCCCUUCGGGGGACAAGUAGAGUGGCGCACGGGUGAGUAACACGUAGGUAAUCUACCUUCGGAUGGGGAAUAACAAUCGGAAACGGUUGCUAAUACCGCAUAAUGCAGCGGCACCUAAUGGUGACAGUUGUUAAAGCGGGGGAUCGAAAGACCUCGCGUCUGAAGAGGAGCCUGCGGCGGAUUAGCAGUUGGUAAGGUAAUGGCUUACCAAGGCGACGAUCCGUAACCGGCCUGAGAGGGGCGGUCGGUCGACACUGACACUGACAUACGGGUCAGACUCCGUACGGGAGGCAGCAGUCGGGAAUUUGGGCAAUGGGGGCAACCCUGACGAAGCAACGCCGCGUGGGGAUGAAGGUCUUCGGAUUGUAAACCCCUGUCGACUGGGACGAAUGUAGAG
rnacentral:rRNA from 1 species